GCAAACAAUCAUCACGUAAAUCACUAGUACGGAAAAAUCUACAAGGCACUCCUAGACAACCAAUAAAUGUAGAGUGUGGCUAUUACAUGAUGGUUCCAUGAGAGAUAUAAUUCGUGAUCCAGGCCUAGCAUUUGAGAAGAAGGUAAAAUUUAAGAUAUAAUUUCUUUAUUUUAAUACCCCGACGUUUUCUUUCAAAACCAUCGUUUUAAUAUUUAUAACAUGUUGGUUUGUGUUCUUUAUUUGCAGUUUGACAAGAAAAAGGAACCAGUUGAGUAUACUCAAGAACAUAUUGACGGCAAAGGACCCGUUAGUAUAGUGGUUUGGAGUAUUUAGUCCCUCAGGCAAGGUCCUGGGUUUGAGUCCUAUCAUCCAUGUUGUAUGUGUGAGUUUAAUAUGCUAUCGCCCCUUUCAAUAGGAAAGGUCCUCAAAAAAGAAAAAAAAAAGAAAAGGACAUAUUGACGAAGUCAGGC
rnacentral:lncRNA from 1 species